rnacentral:rRNA from 1 species
CGUAGUUAGCCGAGACUUAUUCCGGGGAUACCGUCCUUCCUCUUCUCCCGAAAGUGGUUUACAACCCGAAGGCCGUCAUCCCACACGCGGCGUUGCUGCGUCAGGCUUUCGCCCAUUGUCGCAAUAUCCCUUA